CUCUUCGACAAAAUGUGGACUACCUCCUCUCAAUGGCAUCAUAACAGUUUCCAUAACCUGGAAUGUUGAGGGGGAUGCAGUCUUGAGGUUUACCAACAUUAUGCUUGACGUUACCAGUUUGUACAUUAAGGCAUUUGAUUCAUUCAUUUCAUUUCUAUUCUGUUUUAUCCAUAUUGCAUAAUACACCUUGUACAUGCUCCUAAAUAAAUGUGUUCUGAUAAUAAAUUGUAC